rnacentral:rRNA from 1 species
GACGAACGCUGGCGGCGUGCCUAAUACAUGCAAGUAGAACGCUGAAGGAGGAGCUUGCUCUUCUGGAUGAGUUGCGAACGGGUGAGUAACGCGUAGGUAACCUGCCUGGUAGCGGGGGAUAACUAUUGGAAACGAUAGCUAAUACCGCAUAAUAUUGACUAUUGCAUGAUAGUCAAUUGAAAGGUGCAAAUGCACCACUACCAGAUGGACCUGCGUUGUAUUAGCUAGUUGGUGGGGUAACGGCUCACCAAGGCGACGAUACAUAGCCGACCUGAGAGGGUGAUCGGCCACACUGGGACUGAGACACGGCCCAGACUCCUACGGGAGGCAGCAGUAGGGAAUCUUCGGCAAUGGACGGAAGUCUGACCGAGCAACGCCGCGUGAGUGAAGAAGGUUUUCGGAUCGUAAAGCUCUGUUGUAAGAGAAGAACGAGUGUGAGAGUGGAAAGUUCACACUGUGACGGUAUCUACCAGAAAGACG